GCGCUCAUAGCUCAGCUGGAUAGAGCAACGGCCUUCUAAGCCGUGGGUCGCAGGUUCGAAUCCUGCUGGGCGUA
rnacentral:tRNA from 1 species